rnacentral:rRNA from 2 species
GUGGCGAACGGGUGAGUAACACGUGAGCAAUCUGCCCCUGACUCUGGGAUAAGCGUUGGAAACGACGUCUAAUACCGGAUACGAGCUACGACCGCAUGGUCGGUAGUUGGAAAGAAUUUUGGUCAGGGAUGAGCUCGCGGCCUAUCAGCUUGUUGGUGAGGUAAUGGCUCACCAAGGCGUCGACGGGUAGCCGGCCUGAGAGGGUGACCGGCCACACUGGGACUGAGACACGGCCCAGACUCCUACGGGAGGCAGCAGUGGGGAAUAUUGCACAAUGGGCGCAAGCCUGAUGCAGCAACGCCGCGUGAGGGACGACGGCCUUCGGGUUGUAAACCUCUUUUAGCGAGGAAGAAGCGAAAGUGACGGUACUCGCAGAAAAAGCACCGGCUAACUACGUGCCAGCAGCCGCGGUAAUACGUAGGGUGCAAGCGUUAUCCGGAAUUAUUGGGCGUAAAGAGCUCGUAGGCGGUUUGUCGCGUCUGCUGUGAAAUCUGGGGGCUCAACCCCCAGCCUGCAGUGGGUACGGGCAGACUAGAGUGCGGUAGGGGAGAUUGGAAUUCCUGGUGUAGCGGUGGAAU